UUUAUUAGAAAAUCUAUUGACUAGGUAGUGUGGUAUCUGUUCUUAUCAGCUUAACAUCUGAUAGAUCCUCCAUCGGAGUCCAUCGGAGAACAACAAAUGUUAAACUGAUUUUUGGAAAUGGGCGGAGUGAUUUAGGGGCUUGCUCCACCUCUGGCACGGGUUGGCCCGGUAUUGCAGUACCGCCGGGAUUUCGGCAUUGAAUAA